rnacentral:rRNA from 1 species
AUUGAACGCUGGCGACGUGCCUAACACAUGCAAGUCGAGCGGUAACAGGUGUAGCAAUACAUGCUGACGAGCGGCGAACGGGUGAGUAAUGCUUCGGAAUCUACCUUAUGGUGGGGAAUAACUAGCCGAAAGGUUAGCUAAUACCGCAUACGUCCUACGGGAGAAAGCAGGGGAUCGCAAGACCUUGCGCCAAAAGAUGAGCCGAAGUCGGAUUAGCUAGUUGGUAGGGUAACGGCCUACCAAGGCGACGAUCCGUAGCUGGUCUGAGAGGACGACCAGCCACACUGGGACUGAGACACGGCCCAGACUCCUACGGGAGGCAGCAGUGGGGAAUAUUGGACAAUGGGGGGAAACCCUGAUCCAGCGACGCCGCGUGUGUGAAGAAGGCCUGCGGGUUGUAAAGCACUUUUAGUGGGGAUGAAAUGUGCAGGGUUAAUACCUCUGCAUUUUGACCUAACCCACAGAAAAAGCACCGGCUAACUCUGUGCCAGCCGCCGCGGUAA